rnacentral:rRNA from 1 species
UACGUAGGGGGCUAGCGUUGUCCGGAAUCAUUGGGCGUAAAGCGCGUGUAGGCGGUCUGUUAAGUCCGCUGUGAAAGUCGGGGGCUCAACCCUCGGAUGCCGGUGGAUACUGUCGGGCUUGAGUACGGAAGAGGCGAGUGGAAUUCCUGGUGUAGCGGUGAAAUGCGCAGAUAUCAGGAGGAACACCAAUUGCGAAGGCAGCUCGCUGGGACGUUACUGACGCUGAGACGCGAAAGCGUGGGGAGCAAACAGG